rnacentral:rRNA from 1 species
UACGAAGGGAGCUAGCGUUGUUCGGAAUCACUGGGCGUAAAGCGCACGUAGGCGGAUGUGUCAGUCAGGGGUGAAAUCCCGGAGCUCAACUUCGGAACUGCCUUUGAUACAGCACGUCUUGAGUCCGGAAGAGGUGGGUGGAAUUCCAGGUGUAGCGGUGAAAUGCGUAGAUAUCUGGAGGAACACCGGUGGCGAAGGCGGCAUCCUGGACCGGCAUUGACGCUGAGGCGGCGAAAGCUAG